UGUUAUUUCAUCAGCCGACACAGCAUGUAGCACCAACACUUUCUAUGAAUACAUUUUUAAAGUUUAUUUCAAACUUAAUGAUAUUAAAGACGCGUUUAUAGAUCUAGCGACCCGAGAUGGACGAACUGGGUGCAAAGAACUGAAGACAAAAAUUAUGCGCUUGUCACCGCAGUCCGUCAUAAAUGGACCAUCUGCCCGGUGUGAUGAUGCAAGACUGCAAGAUGGUGCAGAAGUCCUGAAUUCAACAGUGAAGGCUCUAAAGGAUGGGCAAGUUGUGGCUGUGCCAACGGACACAAUAUAUGGGCUGGCUUGCUUGGCUCAGAAUUCCAAUGCCAUCAAAAAGGUGUAUGACAUCAAAGGACGUAAUGGGGAGAAACCACUGGCCAUUUGUGUUGGAGAAAUCAAAGACAUUUACAAUUAGUAGUAGUGUGCAUCCCGGACCAGGCCUUCAUGAGACGCCUCUGCCAGAUGUGUGGGGAACCUCUUGCCCUCACCAGCGCCAACAUCAGCUCACACUCCAGCACUGUGGCUGUACAUGUAUGUUGAAACAACCCACCGUGUGUGAGAACUGUUUUUAUUCCAUGAACUGGAGGGGAGGUGGGACUACAUCAUCUACAACUAACCAAGGUUUAUCAGUGCAUCAUUUUUCACUGAUACUUAAAAGGACUUUGGCAAAAUAGUAGUUAUACAGGAGUUCCAGGAUCUGUGGCCUCAGUUAUCAGUGGUGGUGGAUGGCGGACCAAUAGGAGACAAGAGUCGGUUGGGGUCAACAGGCAAAUACCGCAUCAUCAGACCUGGCUGUUCAUGUGCUAGAGGACUGUCAGAAGACACGGGAUGAGUGAGGUUUGCCCCCUUCAAAUUCAUACCACAUGCUGAAAUGUACAACCAGCAAGAACCUGUGCUUACCAUGGCCAAAUACAACUCUGAAUGAUGGCAAUGCCUGCAACGCUGAGGCGAGUGAUGAUUUCUAAAGGAAGGACGGUCCUUUUGCACAUUGCAUGCUAUUGUGGAAUUCUCUGGGUUUCUUGUAAAACUUAAGGGAUUUGUUUUUGUCUUUCUGGGUUAUUAGCUGUCCAAGCAUUGUUGUUUCUAUGGGAAAACCCUUUUUUUCACAAAUUGGUCUUCUGACCAAUCAGAUCAGCUCUGAAAAAUAUCUGACGAGAAAAGAUCUGAUGUGAUUGGUCAGACCAAUUGGUGGGGAAAAGAAUAUCAGGAUUGGGCUGACUGUAAAUGCAGCCUAUGAGCGAGCUGUGAUCUAGUGUAUUAUUGCUCAACAGUUUUGAGUACCUGAUUAUUGGUUUGUAUAAUGGACCAAUGAGAGUAUGUUGUUGACAAUAAAUGGCAUGCAUUAUGCAGAUCAUGAUGGCUUGGGUUGGUUUUCUCUCCUCGCCUAUAGUACUGGGUGAAUGUCAGUGUGGUGGAUGAACUACUGCAGAAGCUCCUGUCCACAGAACACUCUCAAUUACUUUUUUUUUUGAUAAAACAAAACUGCUGUGGACAUGGCGUUUCCCCUUGGCUGAAUUGGUCUGUAAUCACAUGCUCCGAUACCCCAACAUCUCUGUGGAGCCCUCAGACUCUCCCUGGUGCACUGACAUUAAACCAUUUGGUCAAGCAUGCUGUUUUCCCUUACACAUUGGUUCAGCUCUGGGCUGAAGUUUCCCUAGGUACCGAUCUAGGAUCAGCUCCCCCAAACCUUAACCAUUAGUUGGGGAAAUGUACAACUGACCCUAGAUCAGCACCUAGGGGCAACUUCACCCUACAUCUUUGAGCUCCACAUCCUUGUUAAGCCACACAGGAAAUACCCCUUUACUUGGCAAUGACCACACUUGCUUUGAGUG